GAAAGCCCAGGUUUCUACCGCCCUAUGCCUUAGGGCUCAUCUAAAACCUAAGAUGGCGGUAUUUGCAUAGGGUGUAAGCGCUGCAGGCAUACUUUAUGUGAAAAGACGGCCAAAGGACGAGUCUCCUGAGGAAUGUCCAGAAACGCGGAUAUUUGUGUUGUGCCAUAAGCCAGGUGGCAUCACAGACUCAAUGGACAUGGGUUUCGGUGGACUCCGCAAGUUGAUGAUGGACAGGGAGGCCUGGCAUGCUGCGGUUCAUGGGGUCGCAAAGAGUCAGACACGACUGAGUAACUGAACUGAACUGAACACCUCCUUGAACCUCACCUGCCCAGCCCUAGAUACCAAGAAAUGGCUCUGUGUGUAAAGAAUCUGCUUGUAACGCAGGAGACACAAGAGACCACAGCUUUGAUCCCUGGAUCAGGACGAUCCCCUGGAGAAGGGAAUGGCUACCCACUCCAGUAUUUGUGCCUGGAGAAUCCCAUGGACAGGAGCUUGGCGGGGUACAGUCCAAAGGAUUGCAAAGAGUUGGACAUAGCUGAUCAAUUAAGCAAGCAAGCAAGCAAGCAAUGUGAUGCUCUUGAUUACUGUAGCUUUUUUUUUAUUAACUCCUGACGUCAAGUACUUUAUGUCUUUCCAACUUUUUUCCCUUUUAAGAAAAUUGCUUAGGGACUUCCCUGGUGGUAAUACAGUGGAUAAAAAUCUACCUGCCAGUCAGGGGACAUGGGUUUGAGCCCUGGUCUGGUAAGAUCCCACAUGCUGUUUAGCAGCUAAGCCCAUGCGCCUAGAGCCUGUGCUCCACAAGAGAAGUCACCACAAUGAGAAGCCUGUGCACCUCAACUAGAGAGUAGCCCCUGCUCUCUGCAACUGGUGAAAACUCAUGUACAGCAAAGAAGACCCAGUGCAACUGAAGAAGGAAUUCAUAGGGCCUGGACCCCGUCUUAGGCCUGUUCAUGCUGAUCAUGCUUGGCCACCUCUCCAAUGGACUCUGGACUCUGUGCUUAGUGCCUAUGGAAACUACAAUAGAAAGAUAAGACCCCCUCUGGACAGGGGAAUCUUGAAGAUCACAUCCAGGUUACUCAUCGCCUAAGAGAAAACAUACUCUAAUCACCCCUGCCUCCGGACAGGUCAUAAAUUCUUUCUGUAUCUAUAGGAGUGUAACCACAGGCUUAUUGAUUAUUAACUCUUUGAACACCUAACGCUUGAUAACACUGGAAUAAUGGGGUUAUUGUGAUUGUAUUUAGCCUUCCUUUGUUUUAUGUAAGUCUCAAGGAAAUUGGGGUGGUGGGUUUGGACACGUACACAUGGGGUAUAAAGAUUUUCACAAACGUUGGUCGGGGUCCUUGGCUAAGAGGAGACUCUGCCUUGG
rnacentral:lncRNA from 1 species